CAAGUCGAACGGGAUCCAUGUUGUAGCAAUACUUCGGAAGAUCUAGUGGCGAACGGGUGAGGAACACGUGAGAAACCUGCCCCGGACUUCGGGAUAACAGUUGGAAACGAUUGCUAAUACCGAAUACCUCUGCGAAGUGGCAUCACUUUGCAAAGAAAGAAUUUCGGUCCGGGAGGGUCUCGCGGCCUAUCAGCUAGUUGGUGGGGUAACGGCCUACCAAGGCAUCGACGGGUAGCUGGUCUGAGAGGAUGAUCAGCCACACUGGGACUGAGACACGGCCCAGACUCCUACGGGAGGCAGCAGUGGGGAAUCUUGUGCAAUGGGCGAAAGCCUGACACAGCAACGCCGCGUGCGGGAAGAAGGCCUUCGGGUCGUAAACCGCUUUCAGCAGGAACGAAAAUGACGGUACCUGCAGAAGAAGGUGCGGCCAACUACGUGCCAGCAGCCGCGGUGACACGUAGGCACCAAGCGUUGUCCGGAUUUAUUGGGCGUAAAGAGCUCGUAGGCGGUUCAGCAAGUCGGGUGUGAAAACUCUGGGCUUAACCCAGAGCCUGCACUCGAAACUGCUGUGACUAGAGUUCGGUAGGGGAGCGGGGAAUUCCUGGUGUAGCGGUGAAAUGCGCAGAUAUCAGGAGGAACACCGGUGGCGAAGGCGCCGCUCUGGGCCGAAACUGACGCUGAGGAGCGAAAGCGUGGGUAGCAAACAGGAUUAGAUACCCUGGUAGUCCACGCCGUAAACGUUGGGCACUAGGUGUGGGUCUCUAACCAACGAGAUCCGCGCCGUCGCUAACGCAUUAAGUGCCCCGCCUGGGGAGUACGGUCGCAAGACUAAAACUCAAAGGAAUUGACGGG
rnacentral:rRNA from 1 species